GGUCGUCUGAGGAGCACAGUUUAUUCUGGACGAUCUCUUACACGAUGCUCGGCGCGUCUUUUUUCCUAUCGUUCGUCGCGAUGGCCGCGGCGGCGACUACGAUGACGAAGGCACCGACAAGAGCAGUCGUGAAGAUGACGAUAGGGACGGCAGCGGUGCCACAAGGCUUUGAAGAAGCUCGACUGUUCGGACAAUCCACUUCUACACAGCUAACUUUAUCCACCACCACUACCCCGUUGACAUGCGUUACUAUCAAUCGACCCGGACUAUGCAACAAACGCCGAAGACGCCGGGACUCGGAAACUCGGU